UCCCCGAUUGAUUCUGUCGGCGGUUAUAUGCUUGUCUCAAAGGCUAAGCCAUGCAUGUCUAAGUUCAAAUAAACCUAUAAUGGUGAAACCGCGAACGGCUCAUUAUAACAGCUAUAAUGUACUUGAUGUUGAUUAUCUAACGUGGAUAACUGUGGCAAUUCUAGAGCUAAUACAUGCACCAAAGCUCCGAAUUUUAAACGAGCGC
rnacentral:ncRNA from 1 species